GGGGAAUAUUGGACAAUGGGCGCAAGCCUGAUCCAGCCAUGCCGCGUGCAGGAUGAAGCAUCUAUGGUGUGUAAACUGCUUUUGUACGGGAAGAAACACCUCUACGUGUAGAGGCUUGACGGUACCGUAAGAAUAAGGAUCGGCUAACUCCGUGCCAGCAGCCGCGGUAAUACGGAGGAUCCAAGCGUUAUCCGGAAUCAUUGGGUUUAAAGGGUCCGUAGGCGGCUUUAUAAGUCAGUGGUGAAAUCCGGCAGCUCAACUGUCGAACUGCCAUUGAUACUGUAGGGCUUGAAUUAUUGUGAAGUAACUAGAAUAUGUAGUGUAGCGGUGAAAUGCUUAGAUAUUACAUGGAAUACCAAUUGCGAAGGCAGGUUACUAACAUUACAUUAACGCUGAUGGACGAAAGCGUGGGGAGCGAAC
rnacentral:rRNA from 1 species